UACGUAGGGUGCGAGCGUUGUCCGGAAUUAUUGGGCGUAAAGGGCUCGUAGGCGGUUUGUCGCGUCGGGAGUGAAAACCCAGGGCUUAACCCUGGGCUGGCUUCCGAUACGGGCAGACUAGAGGUAUGCAGGGGAGAACGGAAUUCCUGGUGUAGCGGUGAAAUGCGUAGAUAUCUGGAGGAACACCGGUGGCGAAGGCGGCAUCCUGGACCAAUAUUGACGCUGAGGAGCGAAAGCCAGGGGAGCAAACGGG
rnacentral:rRNA from 1 species